ensembl:miRNA MIR507 microRNA 507
GUGCUGUGUGUAGUGCUUCACUUCAAGAAGUGCCAUGCAUGUGUCUAGAAAUAUGUUUUGCACCUUUUGGAGUGAAAUAAUGCACAACAGAUAC